rnacentral:lncRNA from 1 species
CUCCUCCUAUUUCUUCAAAUCUAAUUCUUCUAUUUUGUGUCUGUAACCACUUCCUUCCUGACUGCUCCAGAAUCUUUUUGACUUUUUUUAAUGACUGCUUCAUAAAUGUUUUUGGUCCUUUUGCUUGCCUUCUCUAAACUUUCUAGACAUUGCAGUAUCUGAAUUGCUCUCCAUUCUGCUGAAUCUAUUUUCAACAUGUCUUUGUCCAUCUGAGCCACCAGCAUCUCCCACUUUGUACAACUAAAAAUGAAGCCAUUGUCAUUUUCAUCUUUCUAGCACACGGACCAAGGAAAAGCUUUGUUCCUACCCCAUCUUUCAUGUACCCACUUCUUACCCUCCACUCCCCAUAGGUAACUACCUCUUUCAUUUAUUUUUUUGAAUAUCUUUUCAGAGUUUCUUUAAAUAAUAUAAGCAACUUUAAGUAUAUACUCUUAUUCCCCCACAACUUUUAUAACACAAGGUAACACUCUAUACAUACUUUUAUGUCUUGAGUUUCUCACUAAAAAUAUCUUAGAUGAGGAUAAUGUCUGUCCUACCUGCCAGGUUCACAGGAUCAUUUCAGAAUCAACUUGAGGAUACAAAAAUUCUGAACUGAUUUACAAAGGCUCGGGAUCAUUAUGCAUAAGCGCACUCUGCAGUUGAGCUGACGGAAGCCCUGUAGAUCUGUCUCACCUAUUCUCUUUGCUCUCUCUGCAGUUAAUCAGGAUGUGCUCUCAUGGAGAAGGCAAGAUUAACUACUAUAACUUUGUUCGUGCUUUCUCAAACUGACCUGCUGAUGAGAAAAUGCAAGACAAUUUUUGAUAUUGGAACUGUGCUUUGAAAUACACCUUACACUCUUCAUAGAGGCAUUUACAGAGUUCCUGAAGUUUUAUUUCUGUUUUGGUUCUUAUUUCACUCCUACUGAAGUCGAAACUAAAUUGGAUCUAAUAGGAUCUAAGAUUGGUGCCUUAUUUAGGGUGAUAGGGGUAUAGCAGUGUCUAAUUUUGUGUGUCAAAUUGACUUGGCCACAGGGGGCCCAAAUAUUUCCUUUCUUUCUUUUUUAAAAAAUAUUUUAAAUUUUUUUAGAGAUGGGAUCUCACUGUCAUACAGGCUGGAGUGUGGUGGCACUAUCCUAGUUCUAUGAAGCCUCAGACUUCUGGGCUCAAGUGAUCCUCCCACUUCAACCUCCCCAGUAGCUGGGACAACAGGCUCAAGCCACCAUGCCCAGCUAAUUUUUAAAAUUAUUUUGUAGAGACAAGGUCUCGCUAUGUUGCCUGAACUUGUCUCAAACUCAUGAGCUCCAGAAAUUCUCCCACCUCAGCCUCCAAAAUUGCUGGGAUUAUAGGCAUGAGCCACUGUGCCCAGCCUCAGAUAUUUCAUUAUUCUGGGGGUUUCUCUGAAGGUAUUUUUGGAUGAGAUAAACAUUUGAAUCAGAAGACUAAGUAAAACAGAUAGUCCUCCCUAAUGUGGGUGGGCCUCCUCCAAUCAUUUGAAGACAUGAGUAGAAUAAAAAGGCUGACCUUUCCCCAGGUAAGAGAAUUCCUCCUGCCUGACUGGCUUCAAAUUGGAACAUCAGCCUUUUCUUGCCUUCAGACACAAAUGGAAACAUCAGCUGUUG